UCGAGCGAGUCUGCCUUGAAGAUCGGAGUGCUUGCACUCUGUGAAACAAGAUACAGGCUAGCGGCGGACGGGUGAGUAACACGUGGGUAACCUGCCCAAGAGAUCGGGAUAACACCUGGAAACAGAUGCUAAUACCGGAUAACAACAGAUGAUGCCUAUCAACUGUUUAAAAGAUGGUUCUGCUAUCACUCUUGGAUGGACCUGCGGUGCACUAGCUAGUUGGUAGGGUAACGGCCUACCAAGGCGAUGAUGCAUAGCCGAGUUGAGAGACUGAUCGGCCACAUUGGGACUGAGACACGGCCCAAACUCCUACGGGAGGCAGCAGUAGGGAAUCUUCCACAAUGGACGCAAGUCUGAUGGAGCAACGCCGCGUGAGUGAAGAAGGGCUUCGGCUCGUAAAGCUCUGUUGUUGGUGAAGAAGGACAGGGGUAGUAACUGACCUUUGUUUGACGGUAAUCAAUUAGAAAGUCACGGCUAACUACGUGCCAGCAGCCGCGGUAAUACGUAGGUGGCAAGCGUUGUCCGGAUUUAUUGGGCGUAAAGCGAGUGCAGGCGGCUCGAUAAGUCUGAUGUGAAAGCCUUCGGCUCAACCGGAGAAUUGCAUCAGAAACUGUCGAGCUUGAGUACAGAAGAGGAGAGUGGAACUCCAUGUGUAGCGGUGAAAUGCGUAGAUAUACGGAAGAACACCGGUGGCGAAGGCGGCUCUCUGGUCUGUUACUGACGCUGAGGCUCGAAAGCAUGGGUAGCGAACAGGAUUAGAUACCCUGGUAGUCCAUGCCGUANACGAUGAGUGCUAAGUGUUGGGAGGUUUCCGCCUCUCAGUGCUGCAGCUAACGCA
rnacentral:rRNA from 1 species